rnacentral:rRNA from 1 species
UACGAAGGGGGCUAGCGUUGCUCGGAAUUACUGGGCGUAAAGGGCGCGUAGGCGGACAUUUAAGUUAGAGGUGAAAGCCCAGGGCUCAACCCUGGAAUAGCCUUUAAUACUGGAUGUCGUUGAGUUCGGGAGAGGUGAGUGGAAUGCCGAGUGUAGAGGUGAAAUUCGUAGAUAUUCGGCGGAACACCAGUGGCGAAGGCGACUCACUGGCCCGAUACUGACGCUGAGGCGCGAAAGGCGUGGGGAGCAAACAGG